rnacentral:tRNA from 1 species
CGGGCUGUAGCGCAGCUUGGUAGCGCGUUCGCCUGGGGGGCGAGAGGUCGCUGGUUCGAAUCCAGUCAGCCCGACCA